rnacentral:rRNA from 1 species
GCAAGUCGAACGAGAAAGUGGAGCAAUCCAUGAGUACAGUGGCGUACGGGUGAGUAACACGUGGGUAAACUACCUCCUAGUGAGGAAUAACCCUGGGAAACCGGGGCUAAUACCGCAUAAGCCUGAGAAGGGAAAGCAGCAAUGCGCUGAGAGAGGAGCCCGUGGCCGAUUAGCUAGUUGGUGGGGUAAGAGCCCACCAAGGCAGAGAUCGGUAGCCGGCCUGAGAGGGCACACGGCCACACUGGCACUGAAACACGGGCCAGACUCCUACGGGAGGCAGCAGUGGGGAAUCUUGCACAAUGGGGGAAACCCUGAUGCAGCGACGCCGCGUGAGCGAUGAAGCCCUUCGGGGUGUAAAGCUCUUUCGUCAGGGAAGAUAGUGACGGUACCUGGAGAAGCAGCUGCGGCUAACUACGUGCCAGCAGCCGCGGUAAUACGUAGGCAGCAAGCGUUGUUCGGAGUUACUGGGCGUAAAGGGUGUGUAGGCGGUUCUUUAAGUUUGGUGUGAAAUCUCCCGGCUUAACCGGGAGGGUGCGCCGAAUACUGAGGGACUAGAGUACGGGAGAGGAAAGUGGAAUUCCUGGUGUAGCGGUGAAAUGCGUAGAUAUCAGGAGGAACACCGGUGGUGUAGACGGCUUUCUGGACCGUAACUGACGCUGAGACACGAAAGCGUGGGUAGCAAACAGGAUUAGAUACCCUGGUAGUCCACGCCCUAAACGAUGCAUAUUUGGUGUGGGCAGUUCAUUCUGUCCAUGCCGGAGCUAACGCGUUAAAUAUGCCGCCUGGGGAGUACAGUCGCAAGGCUG